GACAAUGCCUGAUUCAAGGUUAUCAGAGCAUCAGACAGUCUCUGUACAGGCCAGUGCACCUGCAGCAAGCCAACCAAUGUAUGCUACUGUAACAAAGACCAGGAAGAAGAACGAUAAAGAUGGAGUGUCACCCAUUUAUUACGCUUUGGGCAAGAGUUGUGCUCCACAGUCAG